ACACUCCUGCGGGAGGCAGCAGUGGGGAAUUUUGGACAAUGGGCGAAAGCCUGAUCCAGCCAUGCCGCGUGCAGGAUGAAGGCCUUCGGGUUGUAAACUGCUUUUGUACGGAACGAAACGGCCUUUUCUAAUAAAGAGGGCUAAUGACGGUACCGUAAGAAUAAGCACCGGCUAACUACGUGCCAGCAGCCGCGGUAAUACGUAGGGUGCAAGCGUUAAUCGGAAUUACUGGGCGUAAAGCGUGCGCAGGCGGUUAUGUAAGACAGUUGUGAAAUCCCCGGGCUCAACCUGGGAACUGCAUCUGUGACUGCAUAGCUAGAGUACGGUAGAGGGGGAUGGAAUUCCGCGUGUAGCAGUGAAAUGCGUAGAUAUGCGGAGGAACACCGAUGGCGAAGGCAAUCCCCUGGACCUGUACUGACGCUCAUGCACGAAAGCGUGGGGAGCAAACAGGAUUAGAAACCCUGGUAGUCCCAU
rnacentral:rRNA from 1 species